rnacentral:misc_RNA from 1 species
GGAUUCUUCAAGGGAGUAACCACAGCUUUCACUUGCAAGUAAUUGCUGAGACUGUAAAUCCCCUUUUCCCUCCCAUGUCCACUCAUCUUGUACCCACCAAAAGGAAUGGCAGCAUCAAAGACAUCAAAGCAAUUGAUCCAUACUGUUCCAGCAUGUAAUGCCCGUGUCAGGAUGUUUGCAGUUUCUAAGUUCUGUGUAAACACCCCUGCAGCCAGCCCAUAGCGAGUGCUAUUUGCCCUGUGUAUAACUUCAUCAAGAUCCCUGAACUUCAAGAUGGACUGAACUGGACCGAAUAUCUCAUCUCUUGCUAUCAGCAUUUCAUCCUUAACAUUUGAAAAAACUGUGGGCUUGAUAUAAUAGCCCUUGGUGCCAAAUCUCUCUCCUCCAGCUUCAAGCGUAGCUCCAUCUUCAAUACCAGAUCUUAUGCACUUCAGAAUCUUCUGAAAUUGUUCUGAAUCAACCUGGGGGCCUUGUUCAAUACCCUCCUUGAAUGGAUCACCAACAAGA